rnacentral:rRNA from 1 species
GAUGAACGCUGGCGGCGUGCCUAAUACAUGCAAGUCGAGCGAACAGACGAGGAGCUUGCUCCUCUGACGUUAGCGGCGGACGGGUGAGUAACACGUGGAUAACCUACCUAUAAGACUGGGAUAACUUCGGGAAACCGGAGCUAAUACCGGAUAAUAUCUUGCACCGCAUGGUUCAAUAGUGAAAGACGGUUUUGCUGUCACUUCUCGAUGGAUCCGCGCCGCAUUAGCUAGUUGGUAAGGUAACGGCUUACCAAGGCGACGAUGCGUAGCCGACGUGCGAGGGUGAUAGGCCACACUGGAACGGAGACACGGACCAGACGCCUGCGGGACGCAGCAGUAGGGAAUCGGACGCAAUGGGCGAAAGCCUGACGGAGCAACGCCGCGUGAGUGAUGGAGGUCUUCGGAUCGUAAAACUCUGUUACGAGUGAAGAACAAAUGUGUAAGGAACUAUGCACGGCGUGACGGUACCUAAUCAGAAAGCCACGGCUAACUACGUG